rnacentral:lncRNA from 1 species
CGACAGCCACCGCCGAGCCCUAGCUUGGGGCCCGCGCGCCCUGGGCUGCCUCUCUCCCUUCCGCCCGCAGUUCUUCCGCCAAAACCUUUGACCAGGGUCUCCUUGCCAACAUUCCUAAAUCUUUUUUUUUUUUUUUUUUUUUUUUUUUGCCAGCUCUUUGCGCCAGGUAGGAAUAGGGCUCUGCUUUGGGGUGUGCACAGAAGCGCGGUUUCCAGAAGGUGUCUGACCUUUUCACCUUCCCUGCGAACUCCUCCGCGGGCAUCUACCCCUCUCAAGGGCCUGAUCUGCGGCCAAAACCUGUUUGUUCCCUGAGAUGUCCUUGCUAUUCAUAUCCGCAGAGGCUUUCUGCAGCAGUUCCCGGAAAGUCCUCGGGAUGGAACUGGGGGCAUCCAACCCACAGUGAGGACGCGCCGCCUUAGGAGGCGGGGGUGGGCAGGAGCUGGAGGGCCGGCGUGACAAUGGCCUGUGGCCCGAGCGGGCGCCGUGAGAGUCCUGCCAAGAGCAACACCCCGCCCCGUUCUCGCUGGUCCGGGAUGCACACAAACCGCGGCCACCGGACCCCUAAUUUCCAAACCCGGAGCACCUGGGUUCUCAGUCAGAAGGCUGGGCGGGGUCAGGCGACGACUGCCCCCUAGCUGGAAGGCGCAUUGCUCCUACCCUGUGGCGUCCCUCUGCCCCGGAGGAGAGGGCACUGUAUCUCGGGUAACAAUGGAGCCCGCGGCGCGCGACGGGCACCCGGGCACGCCAGGCGCCCAGCCGCGCGCCCCGAUACCCAGUAGGGAAGCCGGGUGGGGCUGCAGCCCAGCCUCUCCCGCGCGAGUCUUCUGACUCGGCUCUACGUGGCAGCAACACGGGACACCCCGGACCUCCCCUGGGCGCCAGCUCCUCGGCCCCAACGGGUCCAGAAACAAGCCGGAUUUUUUUUCUCUCUUCUUUCUGGAAAUUGGCGUUGGUGUGUGUUUCCCUACCUCCCUCUUCCCCCCUCCCACUCCCCCCUUUUUUUUUGAGACAUGGCCCGGGCAGUGACUCCUGGAAGAGGAACAAGUGUGGGAAAAGAGAGAGGAAACCGGAGCUAAAUGACAGGAUGCAGGCGACUUGAGACACAAAAAGAGGAGCGUUUCUCUCGGAUCAAGGCAGUGCCUCGCCGCUUUCCUUUCUCCAAGACGGACUGAGGAUUUUACAGCUCUGGGGGGAAAACAGAGCGCCGCCCCAGGGCGAAUCUCCAACAAUCCGG